UACAGAGGGGGCAAGCGUUGUUCGGAAUUACUGGGCGUAAAGGGCGCGUAGGCGGCCAACUAAGUCGGAUGUGAAAUCCCCAGGCUCAACUUGGGAACUGCAUCCGAUACUGGAUGGCUUGAAUUCGGGAGAGGGAUGCAGAAUUCCAGGUGUAGCGGUGAAAUGCGUAGAUAUCUGGAGGAAUACCGGUGGCGAAGGCGGCAUCCUGGACCGACAUUGACGCUGAGGAGCGAAAGCUAGGGGAGCAAACGGG
rnacentral:rRNA from 1 species